AGUAACGGCGAGUGAAGCGGCAACAGCUCAGAUUUGAAAUCUGGCCCCCCCGGGGCCCGAGUUGUAAUCUGUAGAGGAUGCUUUUGGCGAGGCGCCGUCCGAGUUCCCUGGAACGGGACGCCGGAGAGGGUGAGAGCCCCGUACAGGCGGACGCCGAGCCUUUGUAAAGCUCCUUCGACGAGUCGAGUAGUUUGGGAAUGCUGCUCAAAGCGGGAGGUAAAUUUCUUCUAAAGCUAAAUACCGGCCAGAGACCGAUAGCGCACAAGUAGAGUGAUCGAAAGAUGAAAAGCACUUUGAAAAGAGAGUUAAAAAGCACGUGAAAUUGUUGAAAGGGAAGCGCCUGUGACCAGACUCGCGCCCGGCGGAUCAUCCGGCGUUCUCGCCGGUGCAGUGCGCCGGGCGCGGGCCAGCAUCGGUUCUUGCGGGGGGAGAAAAGCGGCGGGGAUGUGGCUCCCCCUUGAGUGGUAUAGCCCGCCGCCCAAUGCCCCCGC
rnacentral:rRNA from 1 species